rnacentral:rRNA from 1 species
AGCAUAUCAAUAAGCGGAGGAAAAGAAACCAACAGGGAUUGCCUUAGUAACGGCGAGUGAAGCGGCAAUAGCUCAAAUUUGAAAUCUGGCGCUUUUGGGCGUCCGAGUUGUAAUUUGUAGAGGAUGUUUCGGUAUUAGCUCUAAUUUAAGUCCCUUGGAACAGGGUGUCAUAGAGGGUGAGAGUCCCGUAUGUAAUUAGUUGCUUUUGCCAUGUGAAACUCCUUCGACGAGUCGAGUUGUUUGGGAAUGCAGCUCUAAUUGGGAGGUAAAUUUCUUCUAAAGCUAAAUACUGGCCAGAGACCGAUAGCGCACAAGUAGAGUGAUCGAAAGAUGAAAAGCACUUUGGAAAGAGAGUUAAAAAGUACGUGAAAUUGUUGAAAGGGAAGCGCUUGCAAUUAGACCUGCUUGUAGUUGUUCAUCUAAGCUUUUAGCCUAGUGCAUUUUUCUACAAGUCAGGCCAGUAUCGGUUUAGGCGGUUGGAUAAAGAAUUCAGGAAUGUAGCUUCUUUUGGGGAGUGUUAUAGCCUGUUUUGUAAUGCAACCAGCUUAGAUCGAGGACCGCGCUUCGGCAAGGAUACUGGCGUAAUAGUUGUAAGCGGCCCGUCUUGAAACACGGACCAAGGAGUCUAACAUCUGUGCGAGUGUUUGGGUGUUAAACCCAUGCGCGUAAUGAAAGUGAACGGAGGCGGGAACCUUUUAGGUGCACCGUCGACCGAUCCUGAUGUCUUCGGAUGGAUUUGAGUAAGAGCAUAGCUGUUGGGACCCGAAAGAUGGUGAACUAUGCUUGAAUAGGGUGAAGCCAGAGGAAACUCUGGUGGAGGCUCGCAGCGGUUCUGACGUGCAAAUCGAUCGUCAAAUUUGGGCAUAGGGGCGAAAGACUAAUCGAACUAUCUAGUAGCUGGUUCCUGCG